UACAGAGGUCUCAAGCGUUGUUCGGAUUCAUUGGGCGUAAAGGGUGCGUAGGCGGCGCGGUAAGUCGGGUGUGAAAUCUCGGAGCUUAACUCCGAAACUGCAUUCGAUACUGCCGUGCUUGAGGACUGGAGAGGAGACUGGAAUUUACGGUGUAGCGGUGAAAUGCGUAGAUAUCGGGAGGAACACCGGUGGCGAAGGCGGCCCCCUGGACCGGUACUGACGCUGAGGCGCGAAAGCGUGGGUAGCAAACGGG
rnacentral:rRNA from 1 species